rnacentral:rRNA from 1 species
AUUGAACGCUGGCGGCAGGCCUAACACAUGCAAGUCGAACGAGUGGCGGACGGGUGAGUAAUGUCUGGGAAACUGCCUGAUGGAGGGGGAUAACUACUGGAAACGGUAGCUAAUACCGCAUACCAUCGGAUGUGCACAGAUGGGCUUAGCUUGUAGGUGAGGUAACGGCUCACCUAGGCGACGAUCCCUAGCUGGUCUGAGAGGAUGACCAGCCACACUGGAAUUGAGACACUGUCCAGACUCCUACGGUAGGCACCAGUGGGGAAGAGUGCACAAUGGGCGCAAGCCUGAUGCAGCCAUGCGGCGUGUAUGAAGAAGGCCUUCGGGUUGUAAAGUACUUUCAGCUGGGAGGCGUUACCUGCAGAAGAAGCACCGUCUAACUCCGUGCCAGCAGCCGCGGUAAUAC